GUGCAGUGUGGACGAGGUGGCAUGGAGGCGGACUGUGCUCUAGGGGAGUCAGAACCACACUCUAGAAGGAGCCAGGGUGCCUGAUUAACCUUGAGAAGUGGUGCCAUCAAACCAGUCCUGGUGAUAAGUGAGAAAGAAGAAACUUCUGUUUUGUGAUGUAAGCUCCAUGAGGGCAGGGGCUUGGCUGUUUGCCUUGUUCCCUCAGUCUACCCAGCUCCAGCAGUCAUGCCCAGCACAACACGGGGCUCAAUACCAACUUGUUGAGUAAAUAAAA
rnacentral:lncRNA from 10 species